rnacentral:rRNA from 1 species
GUAGGUGGCAAGCGUUGUCCGGAAUUAUUGGGCGUAAAGCGCGCGCAGGCGGUUCUUUAAGUCUGAUGUGAAAGCCCACGGGCUCAACCGUGGAGGGUCAUUGGAAACUGGAGAACUUGAGUACAGAAGAGGAAAGCGGAAUUCCACGUGUAGCGGUGUAAUGCGUAGAGAUGUGGAGGAACACCAGUGGCGAAGGCGGCUUUCUGGUCUGUAACUGACGCUGAGGCGCGAAAGCGUGGGGAGCAAACAGGAUUAGAUACCCUGGUAGUCCACGCCGUAAACGAUGAGUGCUAAGUGUUAGGGGGUUUCCGCCCCUUAGUGCUGCAGCUAACGCAUUAAGCACUCCGCCUGGGGAGUACGGCCGCAAAGGCUG